GAGGAGCUGGCUCUGGUGGCAGCUGUGUCACUAACGCCCUCCUUGUUCUCAUCAGGGGUUCGUUCUUUAAAACCAGUAUGUACACGUGUUUUCUCAGACCGGCAGUGCCAAAGGCUGUAUGCGAGCCGUGAGCCUCCCGUUCACCAGCGGGGGCCCUUGGGCCCCCUCCCCUGCACCCCGCCAUGCCCAGGCCCUCCCUCUGCCCGCACCACAGGGACAGCUCCCGUCUGCGCCCGCAGCCAGCCCCGGCCCCGGGUUACUUCGAGGUCUGCUGAGCGAGCGCAACGAGUCUCUGCUGCAGGAGGUCGGAGCACGUCUGCCCUCCCGGCCAAGGGGGCUGAGCCUCCAAACCCCUCCCGGCUGGACAGCGACUGCGGCGAAGCUGCUACCGCGCCAGGUUAAAAAUAGCCCCAAGCCUGAGCGCCGAGAAGCCACCGCCAGAGAGCAGGGCUCAGCCGCUCUGCCCGCUCAGGGAGAACCAGCGAGAACCAGGGAGAAGGUUCCCAUCGGCCCGCCGCCGCGCCUCCUCCGCUCGCACCCUGCUCAGACCUGGGCCAGGAGCCACCCCAGGCCACGUCCCAGCCAGGGCUCGGCCGCCACGCCCCCGCCGCCCCUGCAUGGAAGGGGCACGAACAGCAAAGUCCUCAAGGGAAGGAUGACAGGAGCCCGGGAGGGGCAGGCGAGGGGCUGCCCUCUGCUGCGGGAGCUGUGGCCCUGCACACCGCCCUUCCAUCCUCCUCAAGGUCAUAGCCAGUUCCGGGCCAGUGUGGCCUGCAACCCAGGUGGCCGCCAGCUUUUCCACUAAACGGCCGUCAUCGUCACGACGGUGGUCCAAGGUGGAGUCAGACCCUCCCAGGUCAGGUCGUGGCCCCAGCACGCUUGAAGGAAGACUCCAGGCAAGUUCACUUCUCUGAGCCUCAGUCUUCUCAUCUUUGAGACAGGGGGCAGCUGGCACCCCUCCUGCCUCAGGGAGGUACCCAAUAGGCACACAGUGAACAGGGGCCACUGCAGGGCCCCCGGAAUGACAGAGCAGGCUGGCCAAGUCUCGCUAACGUGUAAAUCACUGCUAGCAUCCCCCAGUCUCCAGAACAAGCUGCUGGGGAGGGAGCCAAAGUCUGGGAGGGGGAGAGGGAGCUAGAGGAGACAACUGUCCCCACACACCGUGGGCCUCACUCCUGCCCCAGCCCUAACUCCAUCUGGCUUCCCAGACCCACUCUAGCUCCCAACACUGGGCUGGUCAGACUGGGCAGAGGAAGAAGCUGAGAGCCCAGGAACCCCCACUGCAGGGUGCUCGGUGGUCAGGCUCCGUGUCUGGUGCUGGGGGAGUGCACAGUGGGCCUUCAGUCUGCAGCAGGCUCACCAGCCCCGUCCCGGAACCACACAGGCUUAUUUGUGGCUGGUCGCUCUGCAAGACAGGACAGUCUGUGCCGCUGGUCCUGGCCAUGUUUCUGGGCUGGCUGAAUGCAGGGCUGAAUGCAGGCUCCCUGGCCUCUCCCCAGAAGCUACCAACUACGGGCUCACUACCGGGUUCCUCGCUCAGGCCAGGCGGGCAGAGCAGGUGUCCCGGGAGCCCCCCCAUCCCACACCAUGUCCUCGCUGCUUGUGGAGCGGCCCAGACAGCCCCGGGGAGGCCAGCUGGCCUGGUCGUGCGGAGGGGCAGACACUGCUACCCCCAUGCACCUGCCAGGAGCCUUGAGAGCGUCACAGCUCCUGCAGCACUCGAACCUCCAUCCCACUGUCUGCACGGCGCCCAGGAAGGGGUGGGCUGGGGCUGGACCCUCUGGCCAGCUGGCUAGAGGAUGAGGGGAGGGGAGGGCAGGUGACCCUGUGAAGCCCCCUGGCCCCUCACCUCUGAGCUCUGAGGGACCUGGCAUCCCCCUCGCUCACGGGGGGCAGAGCCCAUGGUCACCAUCCUCCUGGAGAGCAGGCAAGUCUGGCCCUGCCCCUCCUCAGACAGCAGUCCUGGGCCACGUGUACCCACGAGGACACCCUUAGUAUGUCACACACCCCCUACUGUGUGGUCUGGGGCAAGGGACAGACCAUUAGGAGUGCCCACAAGAGCACCACUUUCUAGGGGAGAUGGGACAUUCUGGUGUGGGGCUCUGCUGGGCUGAGCUGGGACGGGGUGGGCAGUAGCAGGGGCUGAGUGCCAAGAUUCCCGGAGAGGAGGGAUCAGGAUCUAGUCCAUGUGGGUCUAGAGACAAGUCACAUGUCCAGUGUCCUUGUCACCAAUGACCUGGCCGUCCUGAGGUCAUCCUGUGCUCAUAGCCCCAGACCUUGGGAGAAAUGGACUGCACCCCACACGUGCUCUGGGGGAACUGGGGAAGUGGUCCAUGUUUGCCUCUGGGUGGGGGCUCAGCGGGGGAAGGGGAGAGGGCAGGGAUCAGGCCGUGACUACAGAGGCCCCCCCUCCCCAGAUAGACAGCACCCUUGGCCUUCAUUCCACGUGGGGACGCACCCUCCUGCUCAGCUUGUCUCCUGGCUUCUCCAUGGAGCACCCAUCCCCCCAGCUCGGUGCUCCCCACGCCGUCUCUCUCCUACCACCAGGGCUCCGCCAUUCCUAAGAGAUCUGAUGGCCUUGAAGGGCAUGCCGUCUCGGCCAGAGCCAACACAGCCACCUGCCCCGACCCCAGCCCUAGAGCUCACCCUCAACCUCACCCCCAGGGCAGGGCAGUGGGAUGCAUGGCCCGGGAGCCUUCUUUGGGCACGUUCACAGAAACAAGUGCACAGGCAAAAACAGCUGACCACGAGCAGCGAAGGAGGGGACGACAGGGACCCUUGCCACACGGGCUUAGCGCCCCCCAUCUUCCCCAGGGCUCAGAGAGGACGCCACAGACGAGGACAGGAGGACGCCACAGACGAGGACAGGCGGAGGCACUGUCCCAGCCAUAGGAUCCUAAGGAGAACAUGACGCUAGGUGUCACAUGGGGUCCUGGCUGGGGUCCUGGGACAGAGAGACAGGGCGUGAGGAAGGACCCAGGAGCCCAAACCAACUCCGGGCUCUUUCUGUAACAACGUACCCGGUUGGUUCAUUUGCCACCACAAACGCCGGCAGGAAGCACCAUGGUAAGAAGCAAGUCCAAAAGCACCUGCUGACUCUCCUCUGCACAUGCUCUGCUUAAUGGACACGGUGUUCUACAAUUAUUUUAAUUAGUUGCCAGUUUAAAAAAUUAGGAGGUUGAGCCUGAGGACUUGGAUUUCUGGCCUCUCCUGAAAGCUCAGGGGACCGGUCAAGGAUGCGGGUCAGCCACCUCUCAGCGGUGGCGUUCCCAGGCUGUCCUUCCCAAGCCACACGGGUUAGGCCGCGGUUAGGCCCCUGGGCAGUCACCCGGCUACGGUCUGCCCGAGAGAGGGCAGGCUGGCAACACGGCCAGGGGAGGAGCAGAGGGCCGGGGGCCUAGAUCCCCUCCACAGCAUGCUUGGCACCAGCUCACAUCCCGGGGAACGUAUGACCUGCACAUCCUAGAAGCCGCCCCCCGCCCUCAGAAGCAAGGAUGUGCCCCCACUGCCCACUUUAAAAAAUCACCUCUCAUAAAUUUUCACGUGGACUACACUUCUUUAACGAACAACAUGAUGUGAGGGGAAAAUAGAAGAUGUACAGUGUAAUUUCUCCUGGUUUAUUCCCCCUGUCCUGUGAGCAGUGGGAUCCGUCUCCUAGUCUCCAUCCAGCCUGGGCCUCUGCCGACGGCUCCUCGGACCACAGGUUCCCACGCAAUUGUCUCCCCCACCCCCAGCCAGCCCACAGGUCUCCUCGGGGGCACAGAGCAGGGGCCAGCAGGCCCCUGGGGCCCCCGGGACAGGACUCAAGCGCAGGCUCGUCCCCCAUUACUCUGGUCCCAGCAGCGGCAGACCUGUCCUCGGACGGGCAGGCGGAGGACGCUGGCCAGCGGACUUGACACCAAGCCCCACAUGGCUCUAGGCAGCUGGGAGUCCAUGUGCUUGGGCCACCCUGGGCCCCUGUAAAUGCCAUUCAGGGAGUCUCUGAGAUAGAAAGUCUCACCUGAGACCAAAUCCACACAAAACUGGGCAAAUUGGAGGAGGCACUGGGGGUCCUGCCCCACCAGACCAGCUCAGGGAGGGGACAGGCAGGGGCCUCACCAGAGCAGUGGCAACCCUUGCCCUGCGUCUGCCCCUGGACGCUUCCGGGUCUUCAUCUCCAUGCCUGCUUGGGGCUUGUGGAGGGACACGAUGACCACUGGCCACUGUCCCCUUAAAACCCAGCUUCUGCCGAGCAUGGGCAGUCCGCCCCUGCUUAUAGAAAUCUGAUAUUCGGGGCCUGUGGAAGGGCCAGUGGAUGGGGGACACACUGCAGAGGUGGCCUGUGGCUGGCAGCUCCCCCAUGCUCAAGGAGUUUGCUGAGGACAGGAGUGGUGCCCUGUCCGCGGGGAGCCACGGACACCGACGCAGGCUUGGCCUGGGAAUCACGGUGUCAGGGGGCCGUGUCCGGAGCUGAGGCCAAUGUGCUCUGCAGCCUAGAAGCCCCUCAAGAAGUAGUGCGGGACACGCACUGGCCCAGCACCCUGAGGGAGUCCCACGCUCCUUGGGGAGGCAUGGGGGGCUCAGACCAAGCCCCCAUCAUCAGAGGAUCUGCGAAUCAGCCUUUACUGGACUAUGGCACUGCAGGCUUCGCUGUCCCUCUGCCCCCGGGGGUGGCCCAGCGCUGCCCUCUGGGUCACUCCGAGUAGGUCUGCGACAUCCCGCCCACGAGCACGCUCCAGAGGCUGGAGAGCGUGAGUGCCCCCCACCCGCCAGGCACUGCCUCUGCCAACAUGCCCGUGUGCCCAAGAGCGCGAGCCUCAGCCGGCGACCUCACGCAGCCAGCAGGCACUCAGUCAACACGCACCUGCAGCACGGCUGGCCAGAGCAGAGGGCCCGCCGCAUCCCUCCGAGAUGGGGCAGGCCCACGGCUAGCACCGACACGCCCUGAGGAGGCCGAGGGUGGAGGGCGCAGCGGAGGGCCGAGUCCCAGCAGGCACCGAGGACCAGGGGACGGCAGCCACCGCCUGGCAGGAAAGAUGGGGGCCCUGGCCCACACAGCUGCGGUCCGUCCAGCAGGCAGGCAGCAUUAGCUGAGGGUGCCACGGGCGGCCCGAGUAGCGCUUCGAAGGAGGGAGAGAUCGGGAGAUGUGUUCUGGUGCGGCAGGUGGGGAGGCUUCAGACGGGAGCAGAAACCGAAGGGUGAAAAAGAGGACGCCUUUCUUGAUGGAGUCAACACUCGAGCUCUUAUUUCUGACCUUUUACCACUGAGAAGACCAAGGGCCAGAGCCAGGGCAGGGCAGGAAGAAGGCCAAGGCACCUCCCCCAUGAAGGAGUACCAAGAUGAAGUUGGCGAUGGCGGUGAUGGCGGUGAUGAUGACGAUGGUGAUGGUGGUGGUGAUGGUGGUGAUGGUGAUGAUGGCGGUGUUGGUGACAGUAAUGGUGAUGGCGAUGGUGGUGGUGGUGAUGGUAGUGAUGGCGGUGAUGAUGAUGGUGAUGGCGAUGGUGGUGAUGGUGGUGGUGGACGCAGUAUGGCACAGCCACACUGUCUUGUGACUUCCAUCUCUGGUGGAUUCUAAGUUUUACUCAGUCAUGUACUGAAGCUUCACAACCACACUUUUUCGGGGACACAAAUGUGCCUCAAUUUUACAGAAGACAAAUGAAGCAACUGUUUCAGGCCUCACACUCAGGAAGCAGGAUUUGAAAUCAGGGCCUGAAGACAGAGGGUGUCAUUACCACACUGCUACUCAGUGGGGAAUGACACACGUCUGACGAGGGAACCAGGACCCCCACUUCUGCCUGAAGUGUACCAGGGAGCCACACACCCACCUUUCUGCAUCCCAGGUGAGUAGCAGGAAGCCUAGUCUACCAGGGCCCCACGGCCCCCUGACUUUGCCUGUGAUACCGUCCCUAGACCUGACGGGUCCUUUGGGUGGAUGCAGGGGACAGAGGUGGUAUUUGUGGUAUGACCAGCCACACAUCAGAAAGAGGCCUUGAGGGGACAGGGCAGACCCCUUCUCUCCAGCCUGCAUAGCCUGAUACACAGGGACCUGGACUGGACCACUUUGGGUCCCCCCAGCGCAGGGCCUUAAAACCAACCUGAAGGAAGAGCCCAUCUUCAGCCCUGGAACAGAGAACAUUUUUGGGCCAUGGGUGGGCAGGAGACCAGUCCUCUUGAAGGACAGGAGUGAGAUGGCAACUGACUCAGAGGAGAGCAGGGGUCUCUUCUCCCCCUCGCACAAGGCCAGCAGUGAGCCUCGGGGGCAGGGGGUGGGGACAGGGAAGCAUCCGUCCAUGCUGUGACACAAACCUGGUGGGGAAAGAGGAACUUUAUUCCCAGAAACUCAGGGAGCCGGUGGCUCCUCGCAGCCCUUACCAUGUUGGCACUGCCGGUCCCUGCCUGGCAUCCGGGAGCAUCCUGUGAGCCUGCAAAGGUGGAUACAGGCUCAGCUCCCCCAGGAGAGAAUGAGGUGACCACAGCCCCUUCCCUGCAGAGUUGCCUACCUCCCCUGAGAGGACACUCAGCCCAUCAGGCUGCCUGGUGACUCCUCGUCUGUGUCUCCUUUCCGACACCUUUGUUAUCAGGGGUCAGAGGCCGAGGGCCCCCAGGGGCCUGCUGAUGAGGCUGUACUGCCCCCACAGCACUCUGAGGUCACAGCCCUGUCCAGACCUUAGGAGGUCUCCGACCUCUGACCUCCUCUGAUGUGGAGGAGAAGUAGGCAUGGGGGUGGGGCAUUCCAGACGGAGGGGACAGCAGGUGCAAAGGCCCUAAACAGGAAUGUGCUUCCCACCAGUCUGGUGGGGGCUCUCCCCAGGACGGUGCCGGGGAUACGGCUCCCCCACGUCUGGUGAGGAGGGGUCCGCCAGCAAGGCUACAGGGCCCUUUGGGCUGCCGGAAGCUGGGGCGGGCAGCCAGGGCACCCCAUCCCCCCGCUGGGCCGCCCGCAAAAUCCAGCGCCACCAGGAGCCACGACUGUGGCUGGGGUCCACGGCCGAUAAGGCGGGCAGCUCCCUCUGCUGCUCCGGGCCACUCCCACCCAGACCGGGCGAGGGAAUCCUGGUUCACAGCAGAGGACGCCCGGAGGACCCGGAACCACCUGCUGCCCCGGGGGCGGGGGCGGGGGCGGGGCUCCCCGGCUUGCGUGGGAGGCGCGGCUCCCCACCCACCGCCCUGUGCACGCGCGCAUUCCUGCACGGAGGCUCCCGCGCGCAGACACUCCUGCGAACACGCGCAGGCACGCGCACCGCCCCACGCGCAGGUGCGCUCACCCUCACGCCUGCGCCGGACAAGGCCUCGCGCGCCCCCUGGUGGCCACGUCCCACAGCACACGCCAGCCCACCAGGGCGCUCCCACCACCCGCUGCAGCCUGGGAGCCAGCCGUGGAUAUGGGUGAUCUACUGGGGGGCGCCGCUGGGACUGGACUCUGAACUUGACCUGCCUCCAGAGCUCCUGCUUCCCAGUCCUCGUUUGCAUGAAUAAAACCAUAUUUUCCCCCAAAACACUCUUACAUCAUGUUAAUAUGGGACUACGGAAUUACUUUAUUUUCCAAAGAAUGUUUCUGGAGAUUGGGGAUGCUUUCCACGCCUCCGCGUCUGGGCCUCGGUGCCGGAGGCAGCUGGCGUCCACGCCGGGCAGGACCAUCCUCACUGGCUGUCGCCGUGUCCCCGAUGACGUCCCUUCCUGCCUCCACCUCUGAGGCCCAGACUGGCGGAGCACGCCUGCGCCUCCUGCUUGCUGGACACGUUUCUCUAAAGAUGUUCACUCGGACGAACGCGUUUCUCACUGUCGACGCUGCGGUGUUUCCUCUCUCCUCUCUCUGCCUUUGGCCAGGCUGCUGCCAUACAGCACAAACCUGGGAUAGCCACAGGCAUCCGCCUCCCCCCACCCCGAGGCAGCUGCCAACCUCUCUCUUCC